AGCAUCAGGGGAUUUUUCUUCCUGUGAGCAUUAAUUUUUAAUACUUUAACCUCCAUUACUAUUUUAAAAAGUAUUUACUCUUCAGUCCAAUGAGUUCUAUCAUUUUCAUAUAACCUUUCUAUAAUAGUUUUAAAUGUCUAAGAUGGUUUAAAAUGGAUAAAAUUAUAUCCAGUAAAUAAAUGGCUUGCCAAGAGUUACUUUGUUUCCUUUAAAAAAAAAUUAAAAUUGCUUGAAAUGACAAAUAUAACUCCCAAAGUUAA
rnacentral:lncRNA from 1 species